rnacentral:rRNA from 1 species
UACAGAGGGGGCAAGCGUUGUUCGGAAUUACUGGGCGUAAAGGGCGCGUAGGCGGCCUUCUAAGUCGAACGUGAAAUCCCUGGGCUCAACCCAGGAACUGCGUCCGAUACUGGAAGGCUUGAAUCCGGGAGAGGGAUGCGGAAUUCCAGGUGUAGCGGUGAAAUGCGUAGAUAUCUGGAGGAACACCGGUGGCGAAGGCGGCAUCCUGGACCGGCAUUGACGCUGAGGCGCGAAAGCUGGGGGAGCAAACGGG